UACGUAGGGUGCGAGCGCUAAUCGGAAUUACUGGGCGUAAAGCGUGCGCAGGCGGUUCUAUAAGACAGAUGUGGAAUCCCCGGGCUCAACCUGGGAACUGCGUUUGUGACUGUAGAACUUGAGUGUGGCAGAGGGGGGUGGAAUUCCACGUGCAGCAGUGAAAUGCGUAGAGAUGUGGAGGAACACCGAUGGCGAAGGCAGCCCCCUGGGUCAACACUGACGCUCAUGCACGAAAGCGUGGGUAGCAAACAGG
rnacentral:rRNA from 1 species